GAUUACUCCUACGGGAGGCAGCAGUGAGGAAUAUUGGACAAUGGGUGAGAGCCUGAUCCAGCCAUCCCGCGUGCAGGAAGACGGCCCUCUGGGUUGUAAACUGCUUUUAUUCGGGAAUAAACCUACUUACGUGUAAGUAGCUGAAUGUACCGAAGGAAUAAGGAUCGGCUAACUCCGUGCCAGCAGCCGCGGUAAUAAU
rnacentral:rRNA from 1 species